rnacentral:rRNA from 1 species
GACGAACGCUGGCGGCGUGCUUAACACAUGCAAGUCGAACGGAAAGGCCCUGCUUUUGUGGGGUGCUCGAGUGGCGAACGGGUGAGUAACACGUGAGUAACCUGCCCUUGACUUUGGGAUAACUUCAGGAAACUGGAGCUAAUACCGUAUAGGAGCCCCCGCUGCAUUGUGGGGGUUGGAAAGUUUGGGCGGGCGGGGAUGGACUGGCGGCUUAUCGGCUUGUUGGUGGGGUGGUGGCUUACCAAGGCUUUGGCGGAUAGCCGGCCUGAGAGGGUGACCGGGCACAUUGGGACUGCGAUAGGGACCAGACGCCAACGGGAGGCAGCGGUGGGGAAGAUUGCACAGUGGGCGGAAGCGUGAUGCAGAGACGCCGGGUGCGGGAAGACGUCCUGCGGGUUAUGAACCGCUGUCGGUUGUGACGAAGCGUGAGUGACGGUAAUGGGUAAAGAAGCACCGGCUAACUACGUG